UCUUCCUCUUGAUUAUAUUCCAGAGGUUUUCAAUUUGGUAAAAUCAAAGAAACCCAUAAUUUUUAAGUCAUUUAUCAUUUCUUUUUUUUCCAGAGCUGUAUAUCCCAGUGGCUAUAUGAAAUAUAUUAGGAAAAAUAUAUUUUAUGAUACAGCGUAGUAGUUAAAUGUCUGUUGUCUCUCCUAGGAGAGAUUUUUUCCUAAGGAAAGUCGGGGAUGAGAAAGCUGUUCAGAGGUACUUAGAGGUGGACCAAACCCUUUGCGAUGUUGUGGCUAAAUACACUGAAGGCAGAUCCGUUUCUGGGUGGAAACAUAAGAUACCCACAGAUAAUCCAGACAUGCUAAGUGUUGACAGUAAACUUCCAGACAAUCUACUUGGACUGUUACGUUACUUUCGUAACUCACUGGUGCACCCCAAGAAAAAGUUUGUGGGCUUUGAGAUUUUCAAAGACUUGUAUCCAGACUUCUUCAUCUGUGCAAACAAGCUGGCGAAAGAGAUGCGUUGGACAGAUUAAGGAUACCCGUACACACUCCUGCUGUCUCUCCUUUUUAUGAGCUGCUACCAAAAAAACAAAAAUCUGAUUAUCCUGUACUCCAAUCGAUGGAUCUAACCGAUGGGCAUUUUUUAACCCUUGUGUGGUGUUCGGGUCUGUGGGACCCGUUUUCAUUUUUCAUCAAAUGAUACUAAACAAUAUUUUUUCUAACUCAAACUCAUUGGCAUUGGCUCAUUUUUUGUGGGAAACACAUAUCAAAACACAUUUUCAAUAAACACACACUGUACCCCCCCCCCUCA
rnacentral:lncRNA from 1 species